rnacentral:rRNA from 1 species
GAUGAACGCUGGCGGCGUGCCUAAUACAUGCAAGUCGAGCGAACAGACGAGGAGCUUGCUCCUCUGACGUUAGCGGCGGACGGGUGAGUAACACGUGGAUAACCUACCUAUAAGACUGGGAUAACUUCGGGAAACCGGAGCUAAUACCGUAUAAUAUCUUGAACCGCAUGGUUCAAUAGUGAAAGACGGUUUUGCUGUCACUUAUAGAUGGAUCCGCGCCGCAUUAGCUAGUUGGUAAGGUAACGGCUUACCAAGGCGACGAUGCGUAGCCGACCUGAGAGGGGGAUAGGCCACACUGGAACUGGAACACGGUCCAGACUCCUACGGGAGGCAGCAGUAGGGAAUGUUCCGCAAUGGGCGAGAGCCUGACGGAGCAACGCCGCGUGAGUGAUGAAGGUGUUCGGAUCGUAAAACUCUGUUAUGAGGGAAGAACAAAUGUGUAAGGAACUAUGCACGGCUUGACGGUACCUAAUCAGAAAGCCACGGCUAACUACGUG